GACAGAGGAUGCAAGCGUUAUCCGGAAUGAUCGGUGGCGUAAAGCGUCUGUAGGUGGCUUUUUAAGUCCGCCGUCAAAUCCCAGGGCUCAACCCUGGACAGGCGGUGGAAACUACCAAGCUGGAGUACGGUAGGGGCAGAGGGAAUUUCCGGGUGGAGCGGUGAAAUGUGUAGAUAUUGGAAAGACCACCGAUGGCGAGGCGACUCUACUGGGCCAUGACUGACACUGAGAGACGAAAGCUAGGGGGAGCAAAUGGG
rnacentral:rRNA from 1 species